CAGUAGCCGCGGUAAUACGUAGGUGGCAAGCGUUGUCCGGAAUUAUUGGGCGUAAAGGGCUCGCAGGCGGUUUCUUAAGUCUGAUGUGAAAGCCCCCGGCUCAACCGGGGAGGGUCAUUGGAAACUGGGAAACUUGAGUGCAGAAGAGGAAAGUGGAAUUCCACGUGUAGCGGUGAAAUGCGUAGAGAUGUGGAGGAACACCAGUGGCGAAGGCGACUCUCUGGUCUGUAACUGACACUGAGGAGCGAAAGCGUGGGGAGCGAACAGGAUUAGAUACCCCUGUAGUCCCUGUCUCUUAUAC
rnacentral:rRNA from 1 species